GACGAACGCUGGCGGCGUGCUUAACACAUGCAAGUCGAACGAUGAAGCCGGAGCUUGCUCCGGUGGAUUAGUGGCGAACGGGUGAGUAACACGUGAGCAAUCUGCCCUUGACUCUGGGAUAACUGCGGGAAACUGUAGCUAAUACCGGAUACGACACAUUGGGGCAUCCUAGGGUGUGGAAAGAAUUUCGGUCAAGGAUGAGCUCGCGGCCUAUCGGCUAGUUGGUGAGGUAAUGGCUCACCAAGGCGACGACGGGUAGCCGGCCUGAGAGGGUGACCGGCCACACUGGAACUGAGACACGGUCCAGACUCCUACGGGAGGCAGCAGUGGGGAAUAUUGCACAAUGGGCGAAAGCCUGAUGCAGCAACGCCGCGUGAGGGAUGAAGGCCUUCGGGUUGUAAACCUCUUCUAGCAGGGAAGAAGCGAAAGUGACGGUACCUGCAGAAAAAGCACCGGCUAACUACGUGCCAGCCGCCGCAGUAA
rnacentral:rRNA from 1 species